UGGACUAUGCGUCUCCCCACAGGUGCACACCGCUGAUAAAGCUCGAGCGUUGAAAAAACAAAGCUUAUAAAUCACGGGCAGCAAGGGAUGCAGGACGAUUAACAGCAACAUAGAACAAUUAUAACAACAACCUGGAGGAAACGUCGUGGGUGCGCUCGCGCGCUCUCAAACCGCCUCAGGGCCCUGUACUCACCCUGCCCCUGAUGACGUAAGCGGGGAAACGCCUACGUGACGUGACGGCGCCCCCGAAGGCGCAUGACGUCCGCGUGACGCAGCGGCAGACUGCUCUGGACCUGGGACUUGACGUCAGACGCAGCACCGGCUUCCGGUGGCGGUUGCCGGGGCAACCGGGACGCGGCCAGCGUGGAGUCUGCGUCUCGGUGCGAGUGCUGACCUCAGGCGACCCCAGGAGGGAUCGGAGGACCCUAUCAUCCCCGCGCUGCCAGCUGCCCGCUGCCAGCUGCCGCAGCCGCAGGCCAUGCGGAGCUCCCUGCUCCCCAGCGCCUCGCUCCCGGUCUCUCCCCCAGGGGCGCAGGUUUAAGGAUCUUCCAAGCACCCGUUUCUACCUGCAGGUGGCUUGAGAGCUGGGGAAACCAAAGGGUGACAUGAGAGGCAGCAGCGAGAGGCAAGUAGGAAAUACUGAACUUUGGGCCGGAAAGGGCUGAAUCCAAUCCCCAGUCUACAUCUGCCAGCUGUGUGGCCCUGGGCAAAUGGCUUAAGGCGUCUGAGCCUGUUUCUUCACCUGUGAGAUGGCUGUCGAAGUACCUGUCCUGCUGGGUUGCUGUGACCGGAGAGGGAAUGUGUGGGCAAUGGCUGGCACAUGGCAAUUCUCAGUAAACAGCCCCUAGAACAACAGCUGGAGUCACUGCUGCAGAGGUAACAGUUGCCAGAUACAGAACCGUCCUCUUCCGUGAUCCAAACCCACGCCCCCCAAACCACCACUGACCAGCAAACACCACUCUUUAGAAGACCACCCCCGUUGUCGCGAUCGGAACACUCGUGUAACCCUUUCCACUAGUCUGAGAGGGUAAAGCUGACCGGCACUUUUGUGCAUG